CCGUGCCCGUCCUCUUUCUCCUCCAUCCCCGUUCCCUCAUCUAACCCUAAAUCUCGCCCCAACCGUCUCUUUCCUCCCCGCGCCGCCUGCCCCGGAUCUGGAGGAAGAGGAGGGAGGCAGGAUCUGGAGGAGGAAGAGGAGAUCCGGGCGUCCCGACGGUGGCUCGACCGAUGCGAGGUGACGACGAGCUAAUGAGUGCCUCUUCGACUCCUUCCUCCGUCCUCGCCGCUGCCGCCGCUCCGACUCCUCUCUCCGUGCUCACCACCGCUGCCGCCUCUAUUUACGUCCUGCGGGAUGACGCCGCAGCUCCGUCUGACCGACCCUCAUGGAGGCGGUGCUGCCGGCCAUCGUUCUCAACCUGAGCUUGCCGCCCCCCUGCUUCUGGUGACUAGCAGCUAAAGGAAGGAGAGGGGAGCUCGACGGACUGCGUCUCAUACAGACCCACACACCCCCUGACUUCGACAAGACCAGCAUUAUAGUAUUGACCCCUCGUCCGCCCCGGGUGCGGAGGCGAGCUUCCCGGCGACGGUGGCACUGGCUUGAGGCGGGGGAGCGGCUGAUGCAGGGUUGGAUCGAGGCAUGGGAGCGACGGAUGCGGGCGUCUACCUGCGAAGAGGCGAGAGGAGCGGUGGUUGCGGCGUUGAGCUGCGAAGAGGUGCCGCUCGGGCGCGAGACCACAGAGGCGGGAGCGGCUGCUUCGGGCCCCGGCCGUCUCAUUCACCGAUGACGGCCUCCUCGGCCUCAACAUCAAGGGCCGCCUUCUCGCAGAGAAGAACUUCAAGCUGAAGAGGAAGAGCGGCGCCGUCGAGUUCGCCUAGACCAUACUCGACUUCAGAAAGGGCCAAGACGUCAGGAUCAAGGCCGGAUACGAGCUCUAUCGCAAGGUACAAAGCUGAAAUGCUUGAUGAUGCGCCUCGUAUAUUCGAGGCUGUUUUCCAGUGUACCCUUGAGGUAGGAAUUACAACCUUGUUUGAUUGUUCGGUCUGGCCAGAUGAUUACUAAAAAUUUCGAAGAUUAUCCUAAGCCCGCCUCAAGUUUUUUUUUCUUUACUUCAUGCUAUUGGCACCCAUUGCUUCAAAGCUUUAAUUCAGCUUUCCAGACAGGUUUAUGAUGACUUUUUUAAUUGCUACUAUCAGCUCCUUCGAUGUUAUCUAUUAAUACAGAAACCCAAAUUACUUCUCUUGAAUUUGAUCAUUGGACUAUUUGUUUCAGCAAUUGAAGCUUGUGAUGUAUUCGAUUAACUAAGUAUGCUUCCUGCUAUUUUUUUACACUAUUGUUAAUGCCAAACUGUUGUCAUGACUUACUGGUGAAAUUUAGAAGUGAUAUAUUUGCACAUAUAUACGGGUAUUUAACUUAACAUGAUCUGCAUGUUCUGAAUCUGCAG